rnacentral:rRNA from 1 species
AAUCAACGCUGGCGGCGUGCCUAACACAUGCAAGUCGAACGCGAAAGUCCCGCAAGGGAUAAGUAGAGUGGCAAACGGGUGAGUAACACGUGGGUGACCUGCCUUCGAGUGGGGGAUAACGUCCCGAAAGGGACGCUAAUACCGCAUGACAUCCUGCCUUUGAACAGGCGGAGAUCAAAGCCGGGGAUCGCAAGACCUGGCGCUUGGAGAGGGGCCCGCGUCCGAUUAGCUAGUUGGGAGGUAACGGCUCACCAAGGCGACGAUCGGUAUCCGGCCUGAGAGGGCGGACGGACACACUGGGACUGAGACACGGCCCAGACUCCUACGGGAGGCAGCAGUGGGGAAUUUUCCGCAAUGGGCGAAAGCCUGACGGAGCAAUGCCGCGUGAAGGCAGAAGGCCCACGGGUCAUGAACUUACUUUUCUCGGAGAAGAAAAAUAGACGGUAUCUGAGGAAUAAGCAUCGGCUAACUCUGUGCCAGCAGCCGCCGUAAC